GACGAACGCUGGCGGCGUGCUUAACACAUGCGAGUCGAACGGUAGAGGGGGCAACCCCUCGAGAGUGGCGAACGGGUGAGUAAUAUAUCGGAACGUGCCCAGUCGUGGGGGAUAACGUAGCGAAAGUUACGCUAAUACCGCAUACGAUCUAAGGAUGAAAGCGGGGGAUCGCAAGACCUCGCGCGAUUGGAGCGGCCGAUAUCAGAUUAGGUAGUUGGUGGGGUAAAGGCUCACCAAGCCAACGAUCUGUAGCUGGUCUGAGAGGACGACCAGCCACACUGGAGCUGAGACACGGUCCAGACGCCUACGGGAGGCAGCAGUGGGGAAUUUUGGACAAUGGACGCAAGUCUGAUCCAGCCAUUCCGCGUGCAGGAUGAAGGCCCUCGGGUUGUAAACUGCUUUUGUACGGAACGAAAAGGUCUCUCUUAAUACGGGGGACUCAUGACGGUACCGUAAGAAUAAGCACCGGCUAACUACGUGCCAGCAGCCGCUGUAA
rnacentral:rRNA from 1 species